UAAUAAUACACAGUGUAAUUAUUAGUGUUGCAUCUUCAUAGAGGUUGAUAGUUCUAUUUUAAGAGGAAUUACUGUUCUUCUUCAGACUGCAGUCGUCAAGUUCUGGCCUGUGGACAACUGAGGGGUACAUCAUAGAUGCAAAUGCUAUUCUGUCACUGAUUCCCUUGCAUCAGUGUGAUGCUUUGAUUGGUGCAGUCAAUGAAAAUCAGGUUCAUUGGGUAUUAAUGAUCAAGAGAGCAUCAUGGAGAAACACCAGAGAAAUGGGAAUUCAAGGCAAAAAAGACCGAAGGAUGUGCUUUCAAAGAAAGGUUGCAAAACAUGAAAGAAAAGAAUGAAACCCUAGUGCAGUUCUUGUUGUCUAAGGAAGUCAAGG